rnacentral:rRNA from 1 species
CCUACGGGAGGCAGCAGUCGGGAAUAUUGCGCAAUGGAGGAAACUCUGACGCAGUGACGCCGCGUGCAGGAAGAAGGUUUUCGGAUUGUAAACUGCUUUAGACAGGGAAGAAGUAGGACAGUACCUGUAGAAUAAGCUCCGGCUAACUACGUGCCAGCAGCCGCGGUAAU